AAGAUUCUAGUUAAAAUUAUAACCCUGCCUUGUCAAGGCAAAAUUGUGGGUUAAACUCCCACGUAUCUUG
rnacentral:tRNA from 1 species